CGGGGUGUAGUAUAAUGGUUAUUAUGCAGGCAUGGGGGGCCUGUGAUCCCGGUUCAAUUCCGGGCACCCCGA
rnacentral:tRNA from 1 species